CCUACGGGAGGCAGCAGUGGGGAAUAUUGCACAAUGGGGGAAACCCUGAUGCAGCGACGCCGCGUGGACGAUGAAGUAUUUCGGUACGUAAAGUCCUGUCAGCAGGGAAGAAAACGACAGUACCUGACCAAGAAGCCCCGGCUAACUACGUGCCAGCAGCCGCGGUAAUACGUAGGGGGCGAGCGUUAUCCGGAUUCACUGGGCGUAAAGGGAGCGCAGGCGGCACGGCAAGUCCGGUGUGAAAGCCCGGGGCCCAACCCCGGGACUGCACUGGAAACUGCCGGGCUGGAGUGCCGGAGGGGUAAGCGGAAUUCCUGGUGUAGCGGUGAAAUGCGCAGAUAUCAGGAGGAACACCAGUGGCGGAGGCGGCUUACUGGACGGUCACUGACGCUGAGGCUCGAAAGCGUGGGGAGCAAACAGGAUUAGAUACCCGAGUAG
rnacentral:rRNA from 1 species